rnacentral:lncRNA from 1 species
GUUUAUGUUAAAACCUUGUUAUUUGUAGCGAAUAUCGUGGUUGCUCUCCAUCAAUGAAGAUAUUAAGAAAAAUGAAAAAAGAAAAUACAGACUGCCAGAAAGCACGCAUCUGCAAGGGCUUUGUAGCCAGACUUUAGAAAGUGCCCUUGCUUCUCAACAAAGGAGCUAAGAAUCCAAUAAAGCACAACAAAAGAAUAUACACAUCAAAUAUUCUCCAUAAAAUUAAUAGCAAAAUGAAAUAUUGUGGCAUAUCCUCAACAAUGACGAAAUUAAGGAAAAAGGAGAGGGCAAAGUUCUAGUGAUGGUAGAUACCAUGUAGUGCACUUGCAUUGUUAAGAAGAGUGAAGAAUAAGAAGGGAAU